GUCAGAUAUUUUUUUUUUUUUGUGCAGACGGAUAUUAAGUAGUCAUUAGGUAACUCUCACUGUUCUUAAACUUCGAGUGUAAAAUUCUGUAGAGCAAUGUUUGAAGUGCCGUAACUUGAGAAAUAAUGUAGCUAGAGUCCUGAAAGUUUGCACCCUAAUUGAUUAGAAUGUGAUCUUCAAUGAUACAACCCAGUUUUGAUAAAAUAAUACAAACCAGUAGUAUGAUGUCGCAAAUUUGGUCAAAAAAUGUCCAUUAUUUUCUGUUUCAAUAUUCCACCAACCAUAAAACCCCUAUUUUUCACCCUAAGAGGCUGAUUUUUUUUCCUGUGAUUGGCACCACCCAAAGACAGCAUUCUAAAUUUGAACAUCUCAGACAAAAAGUACAUCUAACAACACUCCUUUGUCAGUGGAAAGCUUUGUGAAUUUGAUUGUCUGAUCAUUUAAAAAUCCUGCCACAAACUUUAGAAGGUUGUAAAGGUCUUCAUCGUAUCAUUCCCUUUGACGAAAUACAGUAGUGGUUAAGGAACUUUACAUUUGACUUGUUUUCCUUUUUCUUUUAGAUCUGGGUCACCGCUGGAAUCCAUAACUUCCACAAAGGACCAUGCUAUAGUCGGGUCGUGGAGGCAGCAGAGGAAGCAGGUCAUUCCAGACGUCCCACUCCUCAGUAACGCUUUCCAGCUCUUCCUACGGGAUCCCGAGGUGUUCCCAGGCCAGAUGAGAUACAUAAUCCCUCCAGCGAGUUCUGGACCUGCCCUGGGGUCUCCUCCCAGGUGGAUGUGUUCGGAAAACCUCCAAAGGAAGGCUCCCCAGAGGCAUAUGAGUCAGAUGUCCAAACCACCUCAACUGGCUCCUUUUGACACGAAGGAGCAGCGGCUCUACUCCGAGCUCCCUCCGGAUGUCCGAGCUUCUCACCCUAUCUCUGAGGCUGAGCCCAGUCGCCCUGCAGAGGAAGCUCAUUUCAGCUGUUUGUAUCUGCGAUCUUGUUCUUUCAGUCACUACCCAGAGCUCAUGACCAUAGGUGAGGAUUGGGACGUAGAUAGAUGGUAAAUAGAGAGCUUCGCCUUGUGGCUCAGCUCCCUCUUUACCACAACGGUUAGAUACAACGCCUGCAUUACUGCUGAUGCUGCACCAAUCCUCCUGUCCAUCUCACGCUCCAUUUUCCCAUCGCUCAUGAACAAGAUCCUGAGAUACUUGAACUCCUUCACUUGGGGAAGCACAUGUGGACUGGCAGGUCGAAUUCCCAUGACCCCCUCAGCAGCUCUGCAAGAGUAAAGAGCUGAUCCACCGCUCCACGACCAGGACGGAAUUUGCGUUAGAUUGACUACUGUGUGGAGUAUUUCUUUCUUCCACAUCGAACUUACGUAUUUGCAGUCAUUUGAUUGCUGCAGUUCCUCCGUUUGCUUCAUUAUUUAACUUUAUAGUUGCUGAAACGGCACCUGUCCAAUGCAGAUAUCUGUAUUUGAACUAUACAGAGCAGUUUCUGCUGAAUUUGCAGGUCAGUAAUUGGAAAUUGCAGCCCAUAUGGUAACUAAUUGCUUCUUGUAAUUACUUUCUUCUACAUAACUUUCUUACUGGACUAAAGAAAAUUCAGUGUUUUAACUGAAAAAGUAAGGAUUAUGUAUGUAAGAGUCUGACUGUUUUUGGGAGAGCAAACCUCAGUGUUCCUGUUUUGUGAUACUUCCAUGAACUGCCACAGAGGGAGCUGUUGUCUGUGCCCAGUUCAGAGACUCUUUUAUGAAUAAUUCAGAGACCUUUAUUUAAAGCAGUGGUAAUAACAUUCAGCUAAUAAUCACAAGACUCAUGAUCUCAUGAUCCUCAAGGUGUGAAUUCACACCUUGAGGAUCAUGAGCCUUGGGUUGAUAACAGUCUGUGACCCGUGAUAUGGAAUGGCAAUACCUACAUGUUGCAUAAGUUGGAGGACUCACUACGUAACGAAAGCAAAGAAAGAAACUGAACAGAUGUUUUUAUUCAGUGUUAAAUUUAACAAGAAGAAAAAGGCAAGGACAGAAAGAUAAAAAAGAAAGAAAAAAUUAUUUUAAAUCAGUUUGAUUUUCAGCGCAGCAUAUUUAAACUGCAUAGAACGGUGAAUUGAAGCCACACUGUCAAUGCCAAACAUUACAAAAUGUGUAAGCAAUUUUAAAUAUAACACCAAUGUAACACUUAAAUCUUAAGACAUGAACAUUAGAAAAAUAUCACACAGGACUAUUAGGCAAACACAUUGAUACUUAAAUCAGUUUCGUCUGUCUGUCUGUCUGUCUGUCUGUCUGUCUGUCUGUCUGUCUGUCUGUCUGUCUGUCUGUCUGUCUGUCUGUGGGAGACAUGUGAUCCCACAUUUCGCCUUAAAAGCUCACGAACAAAACUUCAGUGUUUGUGAUCAUCCCGCGUCUAUGCUGUGUCACAUGUAAAACAGCUUCUUUAUUUUACUACACUAAUGCAUUUUUUAAAAAAGGAUGUGAUUUUUUAAUUUUUUUGUGAGUAGUUACAUUCAUGGUUCAGUACAUAAAAACUACCUGUAACUCUUACAGGUCUUGGUUAAUUAAGAAUAUGGUAAAAUAUUCGGAAUCUUCCAGCUCUCUAAGAAGAAACACAAAAUUGCAACUUUUAUAGAAAAAUAGAGAACAAAGAAACUCACUUUCAUUGGCCAGUGUUCAAGAGAUGGCAGGUCUGACCUUAUAGAAACUCUGUAAAGCAUAUAACAGUAUAUUAACACUAGUACUGUCUUGCAGCACAGAACAUUUCUUGUAAGGAUCCAUUUCAUUUUCCACCCCUCUGACCCCACAAACAAAUCCAUCCAGCUUAGCUCACACAUAUGAUGUGCUCAAAAUGCUCUAUAAUAAAUACAUCACAUCACAGACACAUGCUGAGGUGAGAUUGUGCUUCAGCUUUAAAUGUGAACACAGCUGUAAACGCUGUACAACCACAGGCACACUCACUUUAAACGCUUGAGAUGAGAAGGAACUGAAACUGCACCUUGCACUGCUGCACUUAAAUCAGUCUGUUGCAUGUAUAUUUUCUUACUUUUAAUGUAUUUUUACUAUUUUUUUAAUGCACUGUAUAUUUUACUGACCAUGUCUUUUAAUGUUGACUUUUAAGCCGGUACUACCAACAAAAUUUCAUUAUGUAACUG
ensembl:lncRNA